CAUAUGCUUGUCUCAAAGAUUAAGCCAUGCAUGUCUGAGUACAGACCAUAUCUAAGGUGAAACCGCGAAUGGCUCAUUAAAUCAGUCAUAAUUUCUUGGAUAGUGAAAAACUUUCCUCGGAUAACUGUGGAAAAUCCAGAGCUAAUACGUGCAACUGAGCUCCGACCUCGGCCGACGCCUUGGGAAGAGCGCAUUUAUUAGAUUCAAAACUGACCGUCGUAUUCCUUCGGGAUGCGUCGUUUGUCAUAUUGAUGACUCCGGAUAACUAAGCCGAGCGCUCCGGUCUUUGUACCGGCGCCGUAUCUUUCAAGUGUCUGCCUUAUCAGCUUUCGAUUGUAGGUUAAACGCCUACAAUGGCUGUAACGGGUAACGGGGAAUCAGGGUUCGAUUCCGGAGAGGGAGCCUGAGAAACGGCUACCACAUCUAAGGAAGGCAGCAGGCACGCAAAUUACCCACUCCCAGCUCGGGGAGGUAGUGACGAAAAAUAACGAUGCGAGACUCUUCCGAGGCCUCGCAAUCGGAAUGAGUCCAUUCUAAAUCCUUGGACGAGGAUCCAUUGGAGGGCAAGUCUGGUGCCAGCAGCCGCGGUAAUUCCAGCUCCAAUAGCGUAUAUUAAAGUUGCUGCGGUUAAAAAGCUCGUAGUUGGAUCUCCUAGAUCCAAUUCGUGGGCGGGUCGCCCGUUGUUCGAGCGUCUUCGCGGUCCCUCGAUAGGUUCUUUCCUCGGUGCGGCAUGGUAGUCGUUGCGAAGAUCGUCGCCCGUGCUCUCUCUGAGACGUAGUCCCCUGCGUGGGGGCAUGCUGAAAGGGAGUAGGUGCGUGGUGAUGGAUAUCGUAUACACUCGUGCGCGGUGUCGGGAUUGCGCUUAGCCUGUGGGCGGUUGACGCAGUCUUCGGGAACUGCCCGUCCGCGUUUGGUACAAUUAAAAUUUUGUCGGCUCGCUCGGAGUGCUCUUUACCGAGUGUUCCAGGGUGGCCGACACGUUCACUUUGAAAAAAUUAGAGUGCUUAAAGCGGGCUAUAGAGUUGCCUGAAUGUUGUUGCAUGGAAUGAAGGAACAGGACCUCGGUUCUGUUCUUUUUGUCGGUUUUAUUGAACCGAGGUAAUGAUUAAAAGGAACGGACGGUGGCAUUAGUAUUGCGACGCUAGAGGUGAAAUUCUUGGAACGUCGCAAGACUGACUACUGCGAAAGCAUUUGCCGAGCACGUUUUCAUUAAUCAAGAACGAAAGUUAGAGGAUCGAAGGCGAUCAGAUACCGCCCUAGUUCUAACCCUAAACUAUGCUAACUAGCGAUCCGCCGGAGUCAUUCCCACGACCCGGCGGGAAGCCCCAGGGAAACCAAAGUCUUUGAGUUCCGGGGGAAGUAUGGUUGCAAAUCUGAAACUUAAAGGAAUUGACGGAAGGGCACCACCAGGAGUGGAGCCUGCGGCUUAAUUUGACUCAACACGGGAAACCUCACCAGGCCCGGACAUCAAAAGGAUUGACAGAUUGAGAGCUCUUUCUCGAUUGGAUGGGUGGUGGUGCAUGGCCGUUCUUAGUUGGUGGAGUGAUCUGUCUGGUUGAUUCCGAUAACGAACGAGACUCUACCCUGCUAACUAGUCGGCGGAUCGUAACCCUGUGCUAGGAGGAUCCAGAGUUUUACUGUCUUGCCUUUCAUGUAUGACUCGUGCUCCCGCGUUUGCUUUUUUUGUGAAAGCAUGAUGGCUUCGGUCGUUGUGCCGCCGCAGAAGGGUUUUCGUUUAGGUGCGUUAAAGAAUUGAUUGGCGGGUAUUACCGAGGUGACUCUUACUGGGGGCGUCCGUCGCAAUAUAUCUUCUUAGAGGGAUCAGCGGCGUCUAGCCGCACGAGAAAGAGCAAUAACAGGUCUGUGAUGCCCUUAGAUGUUCUGGGCCGCACGCGCGCUACAAUGUGCGGAUCAGCGUGCCACCCCGCUCCGAAAGGAGUGGGUAACCCGUUGAAACCCGCACUCAAUUGGGAUUGGGGAUUGCAAAUGUUUCCCAUAAACGAGGAAUUCCCAGUAAUCGUGAGUCAUUAACUCGCGCUGAUUACGUCCCUGCCCUUUGUACACACCGCCCGUCGCUACUACCGAUUGAAUGAUUCAGUGAGGUCAUCGGAUUGGCUCCUGCGGUUGCAAUAUACCCUAGGUUGACGAAAAGACGUCCGAACUCGAUCAUUUAGAGGAAGUAAAAGUCGUAACAAGGUUUCCGUAGU
rnacentral:rRNA from 1 species